rnacentral:rRNA from 1 species
CCUACGGGUGGCAGCAGUGAGGAAUAUUGGUCAAUGGCCGGAAGGCUGAACCAGCCAUGCCGCGUGAAGGUCAGUGCCCUAUGGGCGUUAAACUUCUUUUGUGCGGGAGCAAUAAUGGUCACGUGUGGCCAGACGAGAGUACCGUACGAAUAAGCAUCGGGUAACUCCGUGCCAGCAGCCGCGGUAAUACGGGGGGUGCCAGCGUUGUUCGGGUUUAUUGGGUUUAAAGGGUGCGUAGGCUGUGAGGUAAGUCAGCGGGGGAAUGCCCCCGCUCAACGGGGUGAAUUGCCAUUGAUACUGGCUUGCUUGAAUGCGGAUGCCGUGGGCGGAAUGUGUGGUGUAGCGGUGAAAUGCAUAGAUAUCACACAGAACACCGAUUGCGAAGGCAUCUCACGAAUCCGCGAUUGACGCUGAUGCACGAAAGCGUGGGUAUCAAACAGGAUUAGAUACCCCAGUAGUC